ACUACCAUAGGGGAGUCUGAGGGUGGGGGAAUUCCCGUGAAAUGUUUGUUUCUGACGCCCGGAAAUAACCUCUGAGGUGUUUUGGGCGGUCAAUAAUUUCUUCUUUUUUUUUUUCUUUUUCCUUUUAUUUUCUUUUUUUUUUUCGCUUUUUACUUUCCGAAGGGAGCGGGGGGUCGCCCUCCCCCCCCCCACUCCUAACUCCGUCCCUGAUGUCCCUGAUAAAGGAGUGGCGCUUUAGAAAAAGAAUAAUGGAUUGUUUUGAUACCUCACCAGGUGGCGUUUUAAAUAUAAACAAUACUGUAGCCUACUUGGAGUUGAAAGACUACGAAGGAGACUUUACAAUCAAUAACAAAUGUUGUAUUUGUGUUCAAUUGGUGGUGGGAGAAGGUGGUUCAGUCGGUGCUCAUUGGAUUUAAGUUUGGUAAAAUACCUCCUACUCAUCUCCAGCAGUCGGUCCUGAAGGCGGGGCAGGUCCAGAGCAAUUUGUGCGUCUCCGUAGGAGACUCCAGGUGGCAAAUAUAAACAACAUUGCAUGUGGAGUUGAAAGACUACGAAGGAUCAAUAACAAUCAAUCAAUAACAAAAUUGACAACGAAUCCACAAAUAUCACCAGACUCGAUCGUAAAAGGGCAACAGAACUUACCAGCUACUUGUAAAAAGCCAACGAUGUAAAAAAUCAAGCUUCCUGCAAACAUUCUGGAUAUGAACUCAAAUAAAAUAUACUUGCGACUUUUUUUAAAUAAUUUUCUGCAAAAAUCACAAUUUUAGUAAAAGUCUUAGGCCUAAUACUUGUAGGCUUUAUGUUUAUUGAUAUUAUUACCGUUAAUAAGAAAAUAGAGGAAAUAAACGUAAUAUUGUUGCAAAGAAUAUAAACAUAUGUAAGAUAAUCAGAUAUAAAAUUGUAUGGUCUAUUGAUUUUUGCCGACUGUGCAUGUAAUAUAUAAAAUUAAAUGUAUACAUAUAGGGAAUAUCUUGAUUUCAAUGAUUGGAAAUAAAUAUCAAUUGCAA